rnacentral:rRNA from 1 species
UCGGGAAUAUUGCGCAAUGGAGGAAACUCUGACGCAGUGACGCCGCGUAUAGGAAGAAGGUUUUCGGAUUGUAAACUAUUGUCGUUAGGGAAGAAAGAAAUGACAGUACCUAAGGAGGAAGCUCCGGCUAACUAUGUGCCAGCAGCCGCGGUAAUACAUAGGGAGCAAGCGUUAUCCGGAUUUAUUGGGUGUAAAGGGUGCGUAGACGGGAAUACAAGUUAGUUGUGAAAGCCCUCGGCUCAACCGAGGAACUGCAACUAAAACUAUAUUUCUUGAGUAUCGGAGAGGAAAGUGGAAUUCCUAGUGUAGCGGUGAAAUGCGUAGAUAUUAGGAGGAACACCAGUGGCGAAGGCGACUUUCUGGACGAAAACUGACGUUGAGGCACGAAAGUGUGGGGAGCAAACAGG